ACUGAACGAAGCAGCGUGAUUUUAUCCCUGACUGUAAAGACUGGGUAACCCGUGGAACCUCCUUCGUGAUCGGGUUAGGGACUUGCAAUGGUUCCCUUUGAAC
rnacentral:rRNA from 1 species